rnacentral:rRNA from 1 species
UACGGAGGGGGCUAGCGUUGUUCGGAAUUACUGGGCGUAAAGCGCACGUAGGCGGCUUUGUAAGUCAGAGGUGAAAUCCCGGGGCUCAACUCCGGAACUGCCUUUGAGACUGCAUCGCUUGAAUCCGGGAGAGGGAUGCGGAAUUCCAGGUGUAGCGGUGAAAUGCGUAGAUAUCUGGAGGAAUACCGGUGGCGAAGGCGGCAUCCUGGACCGGCAUUGACGCUGAGGAGCGAAAGCCAGGGGAGCAAACGGG